rnacentral:rRNA from 1 species
GACAGAGGGGGCAAGCGUUGCUCGGAAUCACUGGGCGUAAAGGGCGCGUAGGCGGUGCGGUAAGUCACCUGUGAAAUCUCCUGGCUCAACUGGGAGCUUGCAGGCGAAACUGCCGUGCUGGAGUGUGGGAGAGGUGAGUGGAAUUCCCGGUGUAGCGGUAAAAUGCGUAGAUAUCGGGAGGAACACCUGUGGCGAAAGCGGCUCACUGGACCACAACUGACGCUGAGGCGCGAAAGCUAGGGGAGCAAACAGG